GUCGAACGGCAGCACGAGAAAGUCUUGUCUUUCGUUGGGUGGCGAGUGGCGGACGGGUGAGUAAUGCAUAGGAAUCUACCUCGAAGGCGGGGAGUAACCCGGGAAACUCGGGCUAAUACCGCAUAAUCUCUACGGAGGAAAGCAGGGGAUCUUCGGACCUUGCACUUUGAGAUGAGCCUAUGUCAGAUUAGCUAGUUGGUAGGGUAAAGGCCUACCAAGGCAAUGAUCUGUAGCUGGUCUGAGAGGAUGACCAGCCACACUGGGACUGAGACACGGCCCAGACUCCUACGGGAGGCAGCAGGUGGGAAUAUUGCGCAAUGGGCGAAAGCCUGACGCAGCGACGCCGCGUGGGUGAUGAAGGCCUUCGGGUCGUAAAGCCCUGUCGCAGGGGAAGAAUAAGCAUCGGUAUAAUACGCCGGUGCCCUGACGGUACCCUGCAAGAAAGCACCGGCUAACUCUGUG
rnacentral:rRNA from 1 species